rnacentral:lncRNA from 7 species
GCUUUCCUACUUGCUUGCUCUGUAUUUACAUGCAUUGCUUUUGACUUGUUAUUCUCCUUUGUCCUCUGUUUCAUUAGUUUCCCUUCAACCCUCCCCCUUCCCUCACCCUACCUCCAAUUUUUUCCUUCCUACCCUCUCUCCUCUCCCCCCCCAGCCACCCACACCCCCACUUACUCACCCCCCUCACCUCUGCCCCCUCUCCACCCCUCCUCCCUCCCCCUCUCGCCCCACUCACCCCCCUCUUGCCCCACUGCUCCUCCCCCUCUCCCCCCUCUCCUUCACUUCCCCUCCCCUCCCCUCCCCUCCCCUCUCUUUUGCCCCCAUCCACUACCAUUCCCCCUCGCUUUAAGGGAAACUUACCUUUCCUGCUCUUCACUGACUUCUUGAUUCUCGUGGCUCUGGCUGCUAUUUUGCCUUGUUUUCCUUUGCUCUGCUAUGCACUGCUUUCUCUGUAUUUCUUGCCAUCCACUCCUUCCUUUGAGUUAUUCUUUACUUUUUCACUUGGCUUUUUUCUUCUUUUCUCUUUACCUUUCUUCUCUUGUCAUUAUUCGGUUUUUUGUAUGCUUUUUCUGUUUUCAUCUAUUAGUUUUUCUUUUCUUUUUUUUUCUUUUUUUGUCUUUUCUCUUUUUUCUCUUUUUUGUUCAUUUUCUUUCUUUCUUUUCUCUUUUUUGUCUUUUUUGUUCAUUUUCUUUUUUUCUUUUCUCUUUUUUUCUUUUUGUUCAUUUCUUUUGUCUUUAUCUUUUUCUCUUUUUCAUUCAUUUUUUCUUUUUUCUUUUCAUUUUUUCUCUUUUUCUUAUUUUUCUUUUCUUUUUUCUCUUUUUUCAUAUUUUUUGUUCUUUCUUUCUUUUCUUUUUUCAUCACUAGGUUUGCCUUCAGCCCUCCCCUCAGCCCUUCCCUCCGCUCUGCUCUUCACCCAUCCCCUCCCCUCCCCAUCCCCUCUUUUCUCCCUUACCCUCCCCUUUCCCCUUGCCUUUGCCUCCCAGUACCUUGCCUGCCCUUCACUUACCUUCUCCUCACUUCCUGCUCCUUGAUGCUAUGGGCUUUUGCUGCUACUCACGCCAAACCCCAACACUUGCCUACUCUGCGUGCUGCUCUGCCAAGUUGCUCUCUACUCUGCUCACAGCUUCACGCCUACUGCCUGCCCUUCUCUGUCCCCUUCUCGUGCCCUUUCACGGCUUUUCCUCCCUUGCUGAGCAAGGCCAUGCCCGGGUAGCUACCCUUGAACCUCCUCCGCCCUUUGCCUUCCUCCACAGAGAUGCUUGCUUCUGGCCAGCACUCCUGCCCGGUGCCUAGCCCACACACCUCAUCUCUUGGGGGAGAUAGCAAGCUGGCUGUAGCUACCCACACCUCCUCCCGGGGCAUGGCUUCUCAGCUUGGCUUCAAGCCCAGAACCCAAAGGAGCUCCUCUUACCUUUUGGCCCACAUUCUUCUCCUCCCGGCGCAGCUCCUGUGGCAAGCAGGGGCACAGCUCUGGCCAGAGUCCUCCAUUCCUGCAAGGUUGCUUUUGUCAUUCUUUGCCUUCUGUUGCUGUGCUCUCUUUUGCUGUGCUAUGCCUAGCUUUCCCUACUUGCUUGCUCUGUAUUUACAUGCAUUGCUUUGACUUGUUAUUCUCCUUUGUCCUCUGUUUCAUUAGGUUUCCCUUCAACCCCCCCCCUUCCCUCACCCUACCUCCAAUUUUUUCCUUCCUACCCUCUCUCCUCUCCCCCCCCAGCCACCCACACCCCCACUUACUCACCCCCCUCACCUCUGCCCCCUCUCCAC